AGGGGCGAAACGCGGCGGCCCCCGCAGCUCCGCCCGGGAAACGAGCAGCUCCCGCGCUAGCCUCGCCGCGCUGGGGGCCGCCCGAAAACCCUCGGGAAGAGCCAUGGCAGGGAGUAAGGCGAGGGGCCCGGGUCUGAUCGUCUUUUCCGCACGGAGCGGAAGUGCGCACAGGAAACUCCAAGGAGGCUUAUCUUGACUGAGCCUGCAGUCCCAUAACCACUGUCUUGGGGGUGUGCUUCACUGAAUUCACCGAGACAUACGUCAGAGGGCACAUCUGCGGGCUGCACAGUGCGCGGAGCACUGCAGCCUCAGAAAUACCUCCUGCUGCAAGCCUUUGCUCACACACCUGGGAGUAAGUCCCACCAAACUCAGUGGGGCUUACCUGAGCACAUGCAGAACUGCGCUGCACAACGGCCGGCACGGUGAGAGGAUACGGCACAGGGCUGCGAGCCAGGAAUCCAUGACCCUGCUGCUCCUUCCAGCUAGCCAUCGGCCAAGGAGAGCCAUGUGACCAGGGGGAAAAAUAAGUUCUGCUCAUGAUGAAAUAAGUGAUCGACCACAUUAUAACGCAAGGAUGUCACACUCGUAAUAUCGCAAUAUUUCUGUGCUGAUGCACUCACAGGAAAUACUUGGCUCUGGCUCAUCGGUCAUUAAAUGCCUGCUCAUUUGCCAUUGCUGAAUAUGAUCAUCACGCACCAUCCGACAGUGGAAAGGAUGCUUCCUUCUUAGUCAUAAAUGCAAUGACAGAAAUAUGCCAAUGGCAACAAAGAGUGUUGUGGCACCUAAAAAACUAACCGAUGUGUUUUGGCACAAGCGCUCACGGAAGCUGUACAUGCCACCAGAUACACCAAAUGUUCGCCGCAAAUUGGUGGACCUAUAUACACAUGCCGGGAGUGGGACAUGGGUGGAUGUAAACUCUGUUGUCAAGCCAAAUGGAAAUACAGGGAAUACAAGCAUGGAUACUUUCUUUAGCAGGGACCAUUCAAAAAAUAGCUGGGUGAUAACACAGACAUGAUUGCAGUAAUAAUUAAAAACCCCUUUUGUCUUCAUUCAAAUUACAGGACCUUGUGCUAUGAAUAAUGAUGUGUUUUUUUAAAUCACACACAGAGACAAACACACGCAUUAAUCAGUUCUCCUUUUCAGUUAUGUCUGUUAUCACCCAACAGCAAGAAAUUUAGUGCGUAAUCUGCUGUACAUUUAGACAAAGAGAAGUCCUAUAGCUCCCAGCAUUUCCCAGCUUGUAGGACCCACAUAAAACUGUGCCUGUAGUCCCCCUCCCGCAAACUAAGAGGGCUACCCCUGUGGAAAUUCUCAAGCACAGUGAAUUGCCCUUCCAAGGUUUUUUGCUCCCCAAGGACCACCUUAGGAUGGGAGAUGAGAGCAAAAGAGGGCUCAGCCGGUUCAGUCCUAUUACCUGAAGCCUGAAUCAGAAUACAGGAUUCCUAACCACACCACACGUAUUGACUGGACCACCGAGUGCCCGGGUGCUUGUGUUCUCAGCAGCACCUGCUUGUGAAUGUCCUUGGUUAAUGCUGUCAUUGCCAUUGUCAAUACUCUCUGUUUUAAAUUCCUUCCCCACACCCUGCUCCACCAAACUUGUCUGAACCUGAAACUCUUAAGACUCCUCCAUGCUUUUGAUAACUAUAUUCCUUGGGUGUUUAUUCCAGAAUAAAUAAGAUUUGUUAAGGUGC